rnacentral:lncRNA from 1 species
UAUACCCUUAGCCCUUGUUUGGUUGGGGGUUAAGAGGUGGAAUAAUCCCUUAACCUCCAUUUUAUCCCCAAACACUUCAAAAAAUAGGUGGGCACCUAACCCCACUUCAAAUAAAUUAUUCCAGGUUAGCUAACCCCACAUAACCCCACCAAAUUCCAACCAAACACUAUUUUCUAUUCAUAGUAACCCACUAUUUUUCUUAUCACACCUACUCCAACCAAUCAUUAUCCUUCUUUAUCAAUCAUUAUCUUCUUAUCCCACCUACCCAACCAAACACUAUUUUUCAUUAUUCUAAACUAACUCCAACCCCCAACCAAACACAAAAAAACUUUAACCCCACUUUAAUCCUGAACUUAACUCUAUCCCUGGAAUAGCUACUUUUUCCUUAACCCCGAACCAAACGGAGGCUUAAGACUUACACAAAAACAUAGUGAUUUUUAAUAAAACAAUUUAAAAUUUAUAGAUAAUAGAUAAUAAAUAUAGGGUUAAUUUCAUACAGGUUCGUGAAAUAUGCUAUCCCUACAAAAGUUCUAAUACUUUCAAAUAUAUCCCUACCGUUAGAAUUCGUUAAAAAAAUUUAGUUAAUCAUAGAUUAAGUACUUAAUUUUGGUUUUUUUUUUUUUGCAUUUUUAUACUCUUAUAUUUUGCUGUUAUAUUUUCGGAGGAAUGUAUUUGUGAUGGCAAAAUUAAAAAUAUACGGUUCUCUAACGGAUGUUGUGGGAACAACAUCGAGUGCAUUAAUAUUUU